rnacentral:rRNA from 1 species
CGUAGGUGGCAAGCGUUGUCCGGAUUUACUGGGUGUAAAGGGUGCGCAGGCGGGGCCUCUAAGUAAGAAGUGAAAGGUUUGAGCUCAACUCGGACACUGCUUCUUAUACUGGGGGCCUUGAGGCUCGGAGGGGAAAGCGGAACGACACGUGUAGCGGUGAAAUGCGUUGAUAUGUGUCGGAACACCAAUGGCGAAAGCAGCUUUCUGGACGAGUACUGACGCUCAGGCACGAAAGCCAAGGUAGCAAACAGGAUU